rnacentral:rRNA from 1 species
GAUGAACGCUGGCGGCGUGCCUAAUACAUGCAAGUCGAGCGAACAGACGAGGAGCUUGCUCCUCUGACGUUAGCGGCGGACGGGUGAGUAACACGUGGAUAACCUACCUAUAAGACUGGGAUAACUUCGGGAAACCGGAGCUAAUACCGGAUAAUAUAUUGAACCGCAUGGUUCAAUAGUGAAAGACGGUUUUGCUGUCACUUAUAGAUGGAUCCGCGCCGCAUUAGCUAGUUGGUAAGGUAACGGCUUACCAAGGCAACGAGGCGUAGCCGACCUGAGAGGGUGAUCGGCCACACUGGAACUGAGACACGGUCCAGACUCCUACGGGAGGCAGCAGUAGGGAAUCUUCCGCAAUGGGCGAAAGCCUGACGGAGCAACGCGGCGUGAGUGAUGAAGGUCUUCGGAUCGUAAAACUCUGUUAUUAGGGAAGAACAAAUGUGUAAGUAACUAUGCACGUCUUGACGGUACCUAAUCAGAAAGCCACGGCUAACUACGUG